CACGCUGUAAACGAUGAGUACUAGGUGUAGGCGGUAUCGACCCCGUCUGUGCCGAAGCAAACGCGAUAAGUACUCCGCCUGGGGACUACGGCCGCAAGGUUAAAACUCAAAGGAAUUGAC
rnacentral:rRNA from 1 species